CCCGACAGUAGAAGCAGCGUGAGCUCUCUGCCAUCUUCACACCGAGGAAGACAAACACCUACAGCAUACACAAAGAGGAGAGGGAAGUUGCAGAGCUUUGUGUGUUGCUUGAGCUCCUGGAAAUGAGACAAGAUCAAAGAAAAGAGUGAUGCAGCAAGAGCUUUUUACUACACUCACAAUCGUACCUCAAAACUCACACAAAUCCAUCGAAGAAGAGAUGCAUCAGUGCCUGAUGCCUCAAAAGACCAGAAUGCAUUUCCCCACCAAGGCCUUACACUUGCAUGAUGACUGACUGAGGAUACCCUUAACUCCAGGACUACACAGAAAGGUAUCUAUUAUUUUUCUCCUUAACAUACGUUACAUUUUAAGAAUAUCCACACACAGAUCUAAUGCGCAGGUGGACUUUUCACAAAUAUAUGUCAUGAACAGUUUCUACAAAAAAUAGAAACAUUCACUCUAUAAUAAAUGCAGUCUAAAGCAGAGGGGUAAUUCUAUUAUUUAGCCUAGGCUCACUGAUAUAAAUGGGGUGGACAAAAUAAUAGAAACACCUGUCAGUAUACAGUAAUGAAGUACUGUUCAGCACAAACUACACCCUCCAAAAAGAUGAUGCAACAUGAUCUCAUUCAUGAAGGAGGAUUUACUGCAAGACUGCCUCAUUAGACUGCAUUAGUUUUAGUUUGGUGUUCCUAAUAAAGUGAGAAUUUAGUGUAGUCAAACAUUUUCACAAUUUUCAGCAGAAAACAGGACAAACAAGGAUCUCAGUCGACUGACGCCUCAGUGCCAAAAACCUCUCACUGAGGUAGGAACUGUAACAGACGAGCCGGGUCACAGGCAAACACUGUAUCAGUAAAUAGAGACAUCCUCAUGAAUGCUAGCAUCUUUAUAUUGGUCUUCAAAUUCAAAUUCACCCUACUCGUUUCAUUUAAAAUACCACAUGUACUUUAGAUAAAGUACACAUUUUCUUUAAAUACACUGUUCACAAAAUAAUUAAGAGCUUACAAACUAUUAGUGGCAUUUAGUUUGCACUGUUUUGGGCACCAAAAACAAACAGUUACAAUGCAGGAGGUCACCUACUUGCCAAAUUAUAUGGGGAAUACAAUAAGGAACAAUUAAAGGGCUUAGUCUCAUAUAAAAAAA